rnacentral:sRNA from 1 species
AUAUUCUGUUGAUUUGGGGUGGAGAGUUCUGUAGAUGUCUAUUAGGUCCGCUUGGUGCAGAGAAGUCAACGAAAGGUUCCGUUGUCCUUGACCACGUAUUUCAUCACGUAAACCUUGUGGAGAUAGAUUAUUUUGGGCUACGUUACUGUGACAGAAGCCAUCAGACGUAUUGGCUGGAUCCUGCAAAAACCCUUGCUGAACACAAAGAACUGAUCAACACUGGACCUCCAUAUACUUUGUAUUUUGGUAUUAAAUUCUAUGCUGAAGAUCCAUGUAAACUUAAAGAAGAAAUAACCAGAUAUCAGUUUUUCUUGCAGGUGAAGCAAGAUGUCCUUCAGGGCCGUCUGCCCUGUCCCGUCAACAUUGCUGCUCAGCUGGGAGCGUAUGCCAUCCAGUCGGAGCUUGGAGAUUAUGACCCAUAUAAACAUACUGCAGGAUAUGUAUCUGAGUACCGGUUUGUUCCUGAUCAGAAGGAAGAACUUGAAGAAGCCAUAGAAAGGAUUCAUAAAACUCUAAUGGGUCAGAUUCCUUCUGAGGCUGAGCUGA